UGAGGAAUAUUGGUCAAUGGAGGCAACUCUGAACCAGCCAUGCCGCGUGUAGGAAGAAUGCCCUAUGGGUUGUAAACUACUUUUAUUUGGGAAGAAACCCCUCUACGUGUAGGGGGCUGACGGUACCAAAGGAAUAAGGACCGGCUAACUCCGUGCCAGCAGCCGCGGUAAUACGGAGGGUCCAAGCGUUAUCCGGAAUCAUUGGGUUUAAAGGGUGCGCAGGCGGUAAAGUAAGUCAGUGGUGAAAUCCCUUCGCUCAACGAAGGAACUGCCAUUGAUACUGCUAUACUUGAAUAUAGUUGAAGUAGGCGGAAUGUGUAGUGUAGCGGUGAAAUGCUUAGAUAUUACACAGAACACCGAUAGCGAAGGCAGCUUACUAAACUAAUAUUGACGCUCAUGC
rnacentral:rRNA from 1 species